AGUGCUCCUCCCACCACUGUGCUGAAGAGGGAGGAAACCAGGCAGGGCUGAGGGGCUCACAGUCACCUCGUGGGCAUGUGGGUGUGGGCCUGGGCCGACCUCGGCUGCUGGGGUGUCCGGCUGCCCUGUCCCGGAACCGCCUCCUUUCCUCCUAGUGGCUGGUGGGCUUCAGCUUCUUCCUGUUCCCUGGAGCUUCGUUCUCCCUGCGGAGCCGCUACCGCCCACAGCACAUCUUCUUUGGUGCUACCAUCUUCCUCCUUUCCGUGGGCACCGCCCUGCUGGGCCUGAAGGAGGCACUGCUGUUCAAACUCAGGGACAAGUAUAGCGCGUUUGAGCCCGAGGGUGUCCUGGCCAAUGUGCUGGGCCUGCUGCUGGCCUGCUUCGGUGGGGCGGUGCUCUACAUCUUGACCCGGGCCGACUGGAAGCGGCCUUCCCAGGCAGAAGAGCAGGCCCUCUCCAUGGACUUCAAGACGCUGACGGAGGGAGACAGCCCCGGCUCCCAGUGAUGCGCCCGUCCGGCCCUGGGGGUUCGCGGGGUGUCUUCUUGCCCGCCCCUGCUGAGGCGUCUUCAGGACUG
rnacentral:sRNA from 1 species